rnacentral:rRNA from 1 species
AGUAGCGGCGAGUGAAGCGGCAAAAGCUCAAAUUUGAAACCUGGCACUUUCAGUGUCCGAGUUGUAAUUUGAAGAAGGUAUCUUUGGGUCUGGCUCUUGUCUAUGUUUCUUGGAACAGAACGUCACAGAGGGUGAGAAUCCCGUGCGAUGAGAUGUCCCAGACCUAUGUAAAGUUCCUUCGAAGAGUCGAGUUGUUUGGGAAUGCAGCUCUAAGUGGGUGGUAAAUUCCAUCUAAAGCUAAAUAUUGGCGAGAGACCGAUAGCGAACAAGUACAGUGAUGGAAAGAUGAAAAGAACUUUGAAAAGAGAGUGAAAAAAGUACGUGAAAAUUGUUGAAAAGGGAAGGGGCUUGAGAUCAGACUUGGUAUUUUGUAUGUUACUCUCUCGGGGGUGGCCUCUACAGUUUACCGGGCCAGCAUCAGUUUGAGCGGUAGGAUAAGUGCAAAGAAAUGUGGCACUGCUUCGGUAGUGUGUUAUAGUCUUUGUCGAUACUGCCAGCUUAGACUGAGGACUGCGGCUUCGGCCUAGGAUGUUGGCAUAAUGAUCUUAAGUCGCCCGUCUUGAAACACGGACCAAGGAGUCUAACGUCUAUGCGAGUGUUUGGGUGUAAAACCCGUACGCGUAAUGAAAGUGAACGUAGGUAGGACCUCCUUUAGGAGUGCACUAUCGACCGAUCCUGAUGUCUUCGGAUGGAUUUGAGUAAGAGCAUAGCUGUUGGGACCCGAAAGAUGGUGAACUAUGCCUGAAUAGGGUGAAGCCGAGAGGUAAACUUCUGGUGGAGGCUUCGUAGGCGGUUCUGACGUGCAAAUCGAUCGUCG